GAUGAACGUUGGCGGCGUGCCUAACACAUGCAAGUCGAACGCUAGUAGCAAUAUUAGAGUGGCGCACGGGUGAGUAACACGUAGCUUACCCACCUCCCAGCGCGGGAUAACGGUUCGAAAGAACUGCUAAUACCGCAUAAGCUCACGGGCUAUAGAGGCUAGUGAGAAAAGGCUUAGGUCACUGGGAGCGGGGGCUGCGGCCCAUCAGCUGGUUGGGGCGGUAACGGCGCACCAAGGCGACGACGGGUAGGGGACCUGAGAGGGU
rnacentral:rRNA from 1 species